AUUGAACGCUGGCGGCAGGCCUAACACAUGCAAGUCGAACGCGUGGCGGACGGGUGAGUAAUGUCUGGGAAACUGCCUGAUGGAGGGGGAUAACUGCUGGAAACGGUAGCUACUACCGCAUAACAUCAUAUGUGCUCAGAUUGGAUUGGCUUGUUGGUGGGGUAACGGCUAAUCAAGGCGUCGAUCCACAGCUGGUCUGAGAGGAUGACCGUCCACACUGGAACUGAGACACGGUCCAGACUCCUACGGGAGGCAGCAGUUGGGAAUAUUGAACAAUGGGGGAAAGCCUGAUGCAGCCAUGCCGCGUGUAUGAAGAAGGCUUUCGGGUUGUAAAGUACUUUCAGCGGGGAGGCGUUACCCGCAGAAGAAGCACCGGCUAACUCCGUGCCAGCAGCCGCGGUAAUUC
rnacentral:rRNA from 1 species